rnacentral:sRNA from 1 species
UAAUUGAAUAAUUUAACGAUUUCCCUUUCAUAUUUGCUAUUGAUUAGCUCACCAAUCCAUAUAUAAUGGAUCUCUAUUCGCUUUUUUGAUUGAUAUAUUGAUAUAAAAAAUAAUAAAAUUAGGAAAUCCUCUAUUUACUAUAUCACUGAAUAAUAACUUUUUUGUUAACCAAAGAAUAAAGAUCAUUUCUAUUCCAAGGUGGGGAGGUUAAUUUUCCCCAUCGGCCUU